CCAGCAGCCGCGGUAAUUCCAGCUCCAGUAGCGUAUAUUAAAGUUGUUGCAGUUAAAAAGCUCGUAGUUGGACGUCUCUGCUCACAGCAGCUCCGCCACGCAACUAGGUGCGUUCUUAAUUGAACGAUCUAGACCUGCGGGCCCUUUACCUUGAGGAAACUAGAGUGUUUAAGGCAGGCUGAGCCUGAAUACUGCAGCUGGGAAUAAUGCACACGACUGUCUUGGCGAGGCAGCUCUACACUUUUAAUAGGAACAGUUGGGGGCAUUCGUACUCAGCAGUCAGAGGUGAAAUUCUUGGAUUUGCUGAAGACGGACUAAUGCGAAAGCAUUUGCCAAGGAUGUUU
rnacentral:rRNA from 1 species